rnacentral:rRNA from 1 species
AACGAACGCUGGCGGCAUGCCUAACACAUGCAAGUCGAACGAGACCUUCGGGUCUAGUGGCGCACGGGUGCGUAACGCGUGGGAACCUGCCCUUAGGUUCGGAAUAACUCCCCGAAAGGGGUGCUAAUACCGGAUAAUGUCUUCGGACCAAAGAUUUAUCGCCUUUGGAUGGGCCCGCAUGGGAUUAGCUAGUUGGUAGGGUAAAAGCCUACCAAGGCGACGAUCCAUAGCUGGUCUGAGAGGAUGAUCAGCCACACUGGGACUGAGACACGGCCCAGACUCCUACGGGAGGCAGCAGUGGGUAAUAUUGGACAAUGGGCGAAAGCCUGAUCCAGCAAUGCCGCGUGAGUGAUGAAGGCCUUAGGGUUGUAAAGCUCGUUUACCCGGGAUGAGAAUGACAGUACCGGGAGAAUAAGCUCCGGCUAACUCCGUG